rnacentral:rRNA from 1 species
GAAGGAUCAUUAUUGAAUUUUAAUGAAGAGU